rnacentral:lncRNA from 1 species
CGCGAGAGGCCAAGGGUAAUAGCGUCCAAACAGUAAACCCUAAGAUCUGAACCAGAGUGGUGGUGCUACAGUGCAGGGAUGGUGGUUUCCACCGUCUUCUUCGUGAAGACGGUGGCGCUACAGUGCGUCACUCAAUUUUUUUUGCAGAAUUUUGUAAAAAAUAUACCAAUUGACUCGUCUUUGCAUGUAGAUCAUGAAUCCAACAUCCAUUCACACUAAU